AGAGUUUGAUCAUGGCUCAGGAUGAACGCUAGCGGCAGGCCUAAUACAUGCAAGUCGAACGAGACUUGGUAGCAAUAUCAAGUUUAGUGGCGCACGGGUGCGUAACGCGUAUGCAACCUACCUUUGACAGGGGGAUAGCCCGGGGAAACCCGGAUUAACACCGCAUAAUAUAGUUGAAUGGCAUCAUUUAAUUAUUAAAUUUCCGGAGGUCAAAGAUGGGCAUGCGUCUGAUUAGCUAGUUGGUGAGGUAAUGGCUCACCAAGGCGACGAUCAGUAGGGGACCUGAGAGGGUGAUCCCCCACACUGGCACUGAGAUACGGGCCAGACUCCUACGGGAGGCAGCAGUAGGGAAUAUUGGGCAAUGGUCGAGAGACUGACCCAGCCAUGCCGCGUGAAGGAAGAAGGCUUUCUGAGUUGUAAACUUCUUUUAUCUGGGAAAAAACGACCCUUGCGAGGGGCAUUGAUGGUACCAGAAGAAUAAGCACCGGCUAACUCCGUGCCAGCAGCCGCGGUAAUACGGAGGGUGCAAGCGUUGUCCGGAUUUAUUGGGUUUAAAGGGUGCGUAGGCGGUUUUGUAAGUCAGUGUUUAAAGUCAGCAGCUUAACUGUUGUAGUGGCAUUGAUACUGCAGAACUUGAGUAAAGUUGAGGUUGGCGGAAUUUAUGGUGUAGCGGUGAAAUGCAUAGAUACCAUAAAGAACACCGAUUGCGAAGGCAGCUAACUAAGCUUUAACUGACGCUGAGGCACGAAAGCGUGGGGAUCAAACAGGAUUAGAUACCCCGGUAGUCC
rnacentral:rRNA from 1 species